rnacentral:misc_RNA from 1 species
GGAAGGAUCAUUAUUGAUUAUGAAUCGUUGCCUUCAGUGCUGGCUCCGGCAAGUGCACGUUGGUGACUUUCAUCCAACACCCUUGUGAACCUUUGGCCUCUUGCUAGCUUCGGCUGGCAGAGGAUUUUUUACACCAACUCGAAUGUAAUGAAAUUAUUGUCGUGCGCAAGCACUAAUGUACAACUUUCAACAACGGAUCUCUUGGCUCUCGCAUCGAUGAAGAACGCAGCGAAAUGCGAUAAGUAAUGUGAAUUGCAGAAUUCAGUGAAUCAUCGAAUCUUUGAACGCACCUUGCACCCUUUGGCAUUCCGAAGGGUAUGCUCGUUUGAGUGUCAUUGUACUCUCACACUUCUGAUCUUUUGGACCAGGAGCGGUGGACUUGGGUGUUGCUGCUUUACUGUGGCUCACCUCAAAUGCAUUAGUGCAACUCUUGGUUGGACAUAGUACGGCGUGAUAAGUGUCUUCGCCGGCACCUCGUUAGAGGGUGACCAAUCAGGAGCUCUGUGCUUCAAACCGUCUUUGGACAAUGACUGACAACUUGACCUCAAAUCGAGUAGGACUACCCGCUGAACUUAAGCAUAUCAAUAAGCGGAGGAAAAGAAACUAACAAGGAUUCCCCUAGUAACGGCGAGUGAAGAGGGAAGAGCUCAAAUUUUGAAUCUGGCGUCUUUGGCGUCCGAAUUGUAAUCUAGAGAAGCGUUUUCCGUGACGGACCGUGCAUAAGUCUCCUGGAAUGGAGCGUCAUAGAGGGUGAGAAUCCCGUAUAUGGCAUGGACUCCCGUUGCUCUGUGAUACACUCUCAACGAGUCGAGUUGUUUGGGAAUGCAGCUCCAAAUGGGUGGUAAAUGCCAUCUAAAGCUAAAUAUUGGCGAGAGACCGAUAGCGAACAAGUACCGUGAGGGAAAGAUGAAAAGCACUUUGGAAAGAGAGUGAAACAGUACGUGAAAUUGUUGAAAGGGAAACGCUUGAAGUCAGUCGCGCCGUUCGGGAUUCAGCCUUGCUUCUGCUCGGUUUACUUCCCGUUGGGUGGGUCAACAUCAGUUUUGGUCGGAGGAGAAAGGCUUGGGGAAGGUAGCAGCAUUCGUGCUGUGUUAUAGCCCCUUGUUGUAUACUUCGACUGGGACUGAGGACCGCAGCACGCCUUUGGCCGGGGUUCGCCCACGUACGUGCUUAGGAUGUUGGCAUAAUGGCUUUAAGCGACCCGUCUUGAAACACGGACCAAGGAGUCUAACAUGUGCGCGAGUGUUUGGGUGUUAAACUCGGACGCGAAAUGAAAGUGAAAAGUUGGGAACACUUAUGUGUGCACCGACGCCCGGAGCUGACCUUCUGUGACGCAUCUGCGGUAGAGCGUAUAUGUUGGGACCCGAAAGAUGGUGAACUAUGCCUGAAUAGGGUGAAGCCAGAGGAAACUCUGGUGGAGGCUCGUAGCGAUUCUGACGUGCAAAUCGAUCGUCAAAUUUGGGUAUAGGGGCGAAAGACUAAUCGAACCAUCUAGUAGCUGGUUCCUGC